rnacentral:lncRNA from 10 species
UACAACCCCUACAAGUACUCUGACGACAACCCUUAUUACAACUACUACGAUACUUAUGAAAGGCCCAGACCUGGGGGCAGGUACCGGCCCGGAUACGGCACUGGCUACUUCCAGUACGUACAGCAUACAGGGCAGAUGUCAGAGAUUAUGAUCACAGGGUGCUGCUCAGAUUUCCCCAAAGAGUGAAAAACCAAGGGACAUCAGAUUUCUUACCCAGCCGACCAAGAUAUUCCUGGGAAUGGCACAGUUGUCAUCAACAUUACCACAGUAUGGAUGAGUUUAGCCACUAUGACCUGCUUGAUGCCAACACCCAGAGGAGAGUGGCUGAAGGCCACAAAGCAAGUUUCUGUCUUGAAGACACAUCCUGUGACUAUGGCUACCACAGGCGAUUUGCAUGUACUGCACACACACAGCUGGAGGUGCUAUAAGGCUGAGUAAUAAAUACUUCUCAAGGGAGAUGAAAUAUAAGUAUAGUUUUAUGUCAGACUCUUGGAUUGAGUCCUGGCUGUUAUGAUACCUAUGGUGCAGACAUAGACUGCCAGUGGAUUGAUAUUACAGAUG